AGUGAACGCUGGCGGUAGGCCUAACACAUGCAAGUCGAACGGCAGCACAGUAAGAGCUUGCUCUUACGGGUGGCGAGUGGCGGACGGGUGAGGAAUACAUCGGAAUCUACUUUUUCGAGGGGGAUAACGUAGGGAAACUUACGCUAAUACCGCAUACGACCUACGGGUGAAAGCAGGGGAUCUUCGGACCUUGCGCGAUUGAAUGAGCCGAUGUCGGAUUAGCUAGUUGGCGGGGUAAAGGCCCACCAAGGCGACGAUCCGUAGCUGGUCUGAGAGGAUGAUCAGCCACACUGGAACUGAGACACGGUCCAGACUCCUACGGGAGGCAGCAGUGGGGAAUAUUGGACAAUGGGCGCAAGCCUGAUCCAGCCAUACCGCGUGGGUGAAGAAGGCCUUCGGGUUGUAAAGCCCUUUUGCUGGGAAAGAAAAGCAGCAGGUUAAUACCCCGCUGUUCUGACGGUACCCAAAGAAUAAGCACCGGCUAACUUCGUG
rnacentral:rRNA from 1 species